GAUGAACGCUGGCGGCGUGCUUAACACAUGCAAGUCGAACGGGAAUUACUUUAUUGAAACUUCGGUCGAUUUAAUUUAAUUCUAGUGGCGGACGGGUGAGUAACGCGUGGGUAACCUGCCUUAUACAGGGGGAUAACAGUCAGAAAUGACUGCUAAUACCGCAUAAGCGCACGGAACCGCAUGGUUCUGUGUGAAAAACUCCGGUGGUAUAAGAUGGACCCGCGUCUGAUUAGCUAGUUGGUGGGGUAACGGCCUACCAAGGCGACGAUCAGUAGCCGACCUGAGAGGGUGACCGGCCACAUUGGGACUGAGACACGGCCCAA
rnacentral:rRNA from 1 species